CUAUUCAUGACUGAAAUUGUUUGCACUACACACUAUAUGUAAUAAAUUCUAAACAAUAAAUUUUUAAUAUGGAAUAUCCAUUAUUAACAUUGUUCAUCAUCAGAUAAAAUGAAGAUAAUAACUAUAUUUGCAGAAUUACUAAUUCUGUAAAAGAUAGUUCUUAAAAGUAAUAUAUUCAAGCAUUGCACUGGAAGUUUAUAUCUUAUGGCUAUUUCCUGUUAAUGUAAAGUUUGCAAUACUGUAAUGGAUCCUUCGUUGACUGGUAACCAACCAAGUGUGACCACAUUGUGACCCUGUCAUUUACCAAACCAGUAACUGAGUUUUUAACUUUUUGCAGAUAUUUUAGAUUGGGGUGAAUUGCAACCUAUAAUGUAACGUCUGCUUUAGACUCUAGUUCUAUCACUUUAUUAUCAACUAAC